CAGCUGUGUUCCACACCUGUGUUUAUUACCCUGUGUAUUCAGUUUCUCUGUUUCCCCUGUCCUGUGUUGGAUCAUUGUACAUCUUUCUUGUAUUCUGUGUACAAGGACGAGGAGCCAGUAAGAGUGAUGACAACAACAAUGAUUUAGAUACUAGCCAUAGAUUGCUGAGUUGAACUGCACUGAUUGGAGAUUGAACCCAGUGUUGCAGAAAAAACUGCAGCCAGAAGAAAUGCAGACCUAUUGUCCCACCUCACUGUGUUACAUACUAUUGUAUCCUGGAGUUUUGCAUACACUGUUACAUAAUGUCUGAGACAGCUGACUGUGUAUUCUUUGUUCAGACCUGUGCAUGACUCUGCAACCACUACUAUGAUUGAUUUCCAUUUUCCAGGAUUAUAGUGUUGACUGUUUCAAUCCUGUUGCAUGUAGAAGAUCUCUGGCUUAUGUAAAUAUGGAAACCAUGUCAUUAUGAAGGAGUUUUAUUUCAGAUUAUCUGGUUAUGAUUCCCUCCUCUUUGUAUUAUUUGUAAAUGUUGAUCUUAUCCUGAACAUUAUCACUAGGGUCAGAGUAUUUCAUUUCCAGGGCUCGCAAUAUCCCGGUCUGUCGUCAUCCAGUCAAGCGCUAGCUGCUGACAAAGUGAAAAUGAUGACACAACAAUCUAAUCCGUAAUCUCAAUUUCCACAGACCACAGUUCACUGCAGCGUCCCUACACAUUUCUGACAAAGAAAUCCAGCAAAUAUCACACACUUUGUUAACUACUGCCUUACUGUCAUGUUUCCUUUGUUCGCUGACAGGUUUUGUUCUGCUGAACAGCUCAGGUACCAAAAUCUCUUCAGGCAAAAAGGUGUUUAUCAAAUGCUGAGCUGUGACUCUUUGGCCCACCAAGAGCUUUUCUGCAGACACUAUUUAUUGGUUCAUUUAAUUGACCUCUGUGUUUUAGUUUUAAACAAGAUUUGUUAUUAAAAGGAAGGAACCUUUCUUUAAGACACAUGAUAACA